AUACGGAGGAUCCAAGCGUUAUCCGGAAUCAUUGGGUUUAAAGGGUCCGUAGGCGGGUUUGUAAGUCAGUGGUGAAAGUUUUCGGCUCAACCGGAAAAUUGCCAUUGAUACUGCAAGUCUUGAAUCAUCAUGAAGUGGUUAGAAUGUGUAGUGUAGCGGUGAAAUGCAUAGAUAUUACACAGAAUACCGAUUGCGAAGGCAGAUCACUAAUAAUGUAUUGACGCUAAGGGACGAAAGCGUGGGUAGCGAACAGGAUUAGAAACCCUAGUAGUCC
rnacentral:rRNA from 1 species